rnacentral:rRNA from 1 species
AUGAAUAGCCAUCCCAAUUGCAUGAGCUACUUAUCUCAUGAAUGGAGGUUCUUCGUCCAAGCGCCAUGGCAUCAAUUCUUUUCUCAGUGUCCUUGGCAUCUGUGUUCAACCUCAAGUUGCACGCACAAUUCGCACUCCAGCUUUCUGUGGUUUUCACAGAAUAUAUGCUGCCUGAGCCUGCAAAUAAACUAUCACGGCGGCGACUAUCUUACACUUAUUGAUAGUUACUGUUCAGCGAUGCUCGUUGAGCAACUACUCUGGUCUAUUGGUUAUGUGAUGCUCUUGCAGUUCAUGGGCACCGGGGAAGCACCUGAAAGGGUUCGUUCCUGA